UACGUAGGGCGCAAGCGUUGUCCGGAAUUAUUGGGCGUAAAGAGCUCGUAGGCGGUCUGUUACGUCCGCUGUGAAAACCCAGGGCUUAACCCUGGGCUUGCAGUGGAUACGGGUAGACUAGAGGCAGGUAGGGGAGAAUGGAAUUCCCGGUGUAGCGGUGAAAUGCGCAGAUAUCAGGAAGAACACCCGUGGCGAAGGCGGUUCUCUGGGCCGAUACUGACGCUGAGGAGCGAAAGCGUGGGGAGCGAACAGG
rnacentral:rRNA from 1 species